rnacentral:rRNA from 1 species
AAACGUUAGAGUUUGAUCCUGGCUCAGGACGAACGCUGGCGGCGUGCUUAAAACAUGCAAGUCGAACGGAGUUUAUGAGUAGCUUGCUACGAUUAAACUUAGUGGCGGACGGGUGAGUAACACGUGAGCAACCUGCCUAUCACAGGGGAAUAACACUUAGAAAUAGGUGCUAAUACCGCAUAUGACCACAGACCGGCAUCGGUUAGAGGUGAAAGGAGUUAAAUCUGGUGAUAGAGGGGCUUGCGUAUCAUUAGCUUGUUGGUGAGGGUAACGGCCCACCAAGGCAACGAUGAUUAGCCGAUCUGAGAGGAUGACCGGCCACACUGGAACUGAGAUACGGUCCAGACUCCUACGGGAGGCAGCAGUUAGGAAUAUUGGGCAAUGGAGGAAACUCUGACCCAGCAACGCCGCGUGAAGGAUGAAGGUUCUCGGAUUGUAAACUUCUGAUCUGUGGAAAGAAACAAAUGACGGUACCACAGGAGAAAGCUCCGGCAAACUACGUGCCAGCAGCCGCGGUAAUACGUAGGGAGCAAGCGUUGUCCGGAAUAACUGGGCGUAAAGGGAGCGUAGGUGGCGAUUUAAGUGAAAUGUGAAAGCCCGGGGCUUAACUCCGGAAUGUCAUUUCAUACUGGAUUGCUUGAGUGCAGGAGGGGUAAGCGGAAUUCCUAGUGUAGCGGUUAAAUGCGUAGAUAUUAGGAAGAACACCAGAGGCGAAGGCGGCUUACUGGACUGUAACUGACACUGAGGCUCGAAAGCGUGGGGAGCAAACAGGAUUAGAUACCCUGGUAGUCCACGCGGUAAACGAUGAAUACUAGAUGUCGGGUAGCAAAGCUACUCGGUGUCGUCGCAAACGCAAUAAGUAUUCCACCUGGGGAGUACGUUCGCAAGAAUGAAACUCAAAGGAAUUGACGGGGACCCGCACAAGCGGUGGAGCAUGUGGUUUAAUUCGAAGCAACGCGAAGAACCUUACCUGCUCUUGACAUCCCAUUCGAUAGAAGGUAAUGCUUCUAGCCCUUCGGGGGAAUGGAGACAGGUGGUGCAUGGUUGUCGUCAGCUCGUGUCGUGAGAUGUUGGGUUAAGUCCCGCAACGAGCGCAACCCUUAUUGUCAGUAGCCAGCAGGUGAAGCUGGGCACUCUGAUGAGACUGCCGGGGAUAACCCGGAGGAAGGUGGGGAUGACGUCAAAUCAUCAUGCCCCUUAUGAGCAGGGCUACACACGUGCUACAAUGGCGUAAACAGAGGGAAGCGAAGGAGUGAUCCGGAGCAAAUCUCAAAAAUAACGUCUCAGUUCGGAUUGUAGUCUGCAACUCGACUACAUGAAGCUGGAAUCGCUAGUAAUCGCAGAUCAGAAUGCUGCGGUGAAUACGUUCCCGGGUCUUGUACACACCGCCCGUCACACCAUGGGAGUC